rnacentral:tRNA from 1 species
GGGGGUAUAGCUCAGCGGUACAGCAUUUGAAUGCAGAUUGAGAGGGCCUCGGUUCAAACCCGAGAGCCCCCU